GUUCUUGAUACUCUCGUGCAUCUCAAGGAGCGCCACCUGGCUUUCCUUCUCUAGAAGAUGGUGCUUUUGCUGAAAAAGCUGUAGCUCAUCCUAACAUCUAAAUUUGUCAGUUUCCUGAUUCUCAACCCAAGCAGAAAAGGAGUUCUUGAAACCAGAAAUGAAUUCCCAGACAUUUGAAGUCAACAGGGAGGCUGAAGGCAAUCACUUGAAGGUAAUUAAGUUAUCCUGCAAGAAGACAGCAAGGCCAGUUGCACAGCUG